CAAGGAAUGAGUUAAAGCAUUCUGAAUUUAUUUGGACCGAAUACUGUAUGGAGUAAAAGAAACAGAGGAGAAGAUUAUAGAGGAUGAAAAACACCUUGAGGAGUUAGUGAAGCAAAAAGCAGAAAUCCAGGAAGAUGCAAAAUGUUGGAACAGCAAACUUUUGUCCAGAGAGAAGAACAGGAGCAACUAAUGUCCAAGAAGAGCAGUCAGAUGGAUCAGCAC
rnacentral:lncRNA from 1 species